rnacentral:ncRNA from 1 species
GUGCGUCGAGGAAGGAGAGAUUGUUAGCACUCCCCUUCGUAAGGACGGAGAGGUGUCACUCGAGCACAUAUCAAAUUUCUUAAUAUUUGAGAAAUCUGAAUAGCGUGC